GGGGGAAUUUUGGACAAUGGGGGCAACCCUGAUCCAGCCAUCCCGCGUGUGCGACGAAGGCCUUCGGGUUGUAAAGCACUUUUGGCAGGAAAGAAAUUGCCUGGGUUAACACCCUGGGUAGAUGACGGUACCUGCAGAAUAAGCACCGGCUAACUACGUGCCAGCUGCCGCGGUAAUACGUAGGGUGCAAGCGUUAAUCGGAAUUACUGGGCGUAAAGCGUGCGCAGGCGGUUCGGAAAGAAAGAUGUGA
rnacentral:rRNA from 1 species